rnacentral:rRNA from 1 species
UACGGAGGGGGCUAGCGUUGUUCGGAAUUACUGGGCGUAAAGCGCGCGUAGGCGGACCUGCAAGUCGGGGGUGAAAGCCCGAGGCUCAACCUCGGAACUGCCUUCGAUACUGCGGGUCUCGAGUCCGGGAGAGGUGAGUGGAGCUGCGAGUGUAGAGGUGAAAUUCGUAGAUAUUCGCAAGAACACCAGUGGCGAAGGCGGCUCACUGGCCCGGAACUGACGCUGAGACGCGAAAGCGUGGGGAGCAAACAGG